UACGGGAGGCAGCAGUGGGGAAUAUUGCACAAUGGGCGCAAGCCUGAUGCAGCCAUGCCGCGUGUAUGAAAAAGGCCUUCGGGUUGUAAAGUACUUUCAGUCGUGAGGAAGGUGUUAAGGUUAAUAACCUUAGCAAUUGACGUUAGCGACAGAAGAAGCACCGGCUAACUCCGUGCCAGCAGCCGCGGUAAUACGGAGGGUGCGAGCGUUAAUCGGAAUUACUGGGCGUAAAGGGCACGCAGGCGGUUAAUUAAGUUGGAUGUGAAAUCCCCGGGCUUAACCCGGGAAUGGCAUUCAAGACUGGUUAGCUAGAGUCUUGUAGAGGGGGUAGAAUUCCAUGUGUAGCGGUGAAAUGCGUAGAGAUGUGGAGGAAUACCGGUGGCGAAGGCGGCCCCUGGACAAAGACUGACGCUCAUGUGCGAAAGCGUGGGGAGCAAACAGGGAUUAGAUACC
rnacentral:rRNA from 1 species